rnacentral:rRNA from 1 species
UAAAAAGUUACUCAAGCGCACAUAAAGAAUGCCUUGACGUAAGAUACCGAUGAAGGACGUAAGAAGCUGCGAUAAGCUUCGGGGAGCUGCUAACUAAGCUUUGAACCGAAGAUUUCCGAAUGGGGAAACCUAGAUAGAGUAAUGUCUAUUUGCAUUUGACUGAAUACAUAGGUCAUCUAGUGGUAACCGGGGGAACUGAAACAUCUUAGUACCUCGAGGAAGAGAAAAUAAAUAAUGAUUCCGGAAGUAGUGGCGAGCGAAACUGGAAGAGCCCAAACUUUAUAGACUUCUAUUAUUUAUUUAAUAGAUAAGUUGGUAGACGAAUGUUUAUAAAGGGUUGUGACGUUACAAACAACCAGUAUAGAGAACUGUUUUACUACAGUUAUCUAUAGUGGCGGCAAAGGCUACCAUUCCUUUGCAUAAGGUAAGAAAUUUGUGAGGCAAGCAGAAGCAACUGGAAAGUUGCACCAAAGACGGUGAUAGUCCGGUAUGCUAAGUUUCACAAACCUUAUAUUUGUAAGUUAUGGGAUAUUACUUUUAGCCCUUCAAGGCUAAAGGCUAUGUCUCAUACAUGUCGAGUAGGUCGGGACACGUGAAACCCUGAUUGAAUCUGGAGGGACCACCCUCCAAGGCUAAAUAUAUCUUACGAUCGAUAGUGUACAAGUACCGUGAGGGAAAGGUUAAAAGAACCCCGGAAGGGGAGUGAAAUAGAUCCUGAAAUUAUGUGCGUACAAGGAGUCGGAGCCCUUCGGGGUGACGGCGUGCUUUUUGUAGAACGAUCCAACGAGUUACUGAUAUGUGCAAGCUUAAGUCAUUUGACGCAGGCAUAGUGAAAGCGAGGCUGAAUAGGCCGAAUUAGUACAUAUUAGUAGACCCGAAACCAGGUGACCUAACCAUGGGCAGGUUGAAGCGCAGGUAAAACUGCGUGGAGGACCGAACCGUAGCAUACUGCAACAUGCCCGGAUGACCUGUGGUUAGAG